GAAACCCUAAACCCCGAAUUUUUCUUGAUCCAAAAACAACCAAUUUUUCCACCAUUAAAUCGUUGAAAAAGCUGAAUAAAGCUGUUUACAGCCUGCAAAACAGAUCACGUGCUGAAAAAAACAAAAAAAAUGAUCAAAAAAUGACAAAUUUGAAAAAAAUCCGUGAAGAACACUGUGCAACCCGUGUUCUUCACGGACUCGCCGAUUCCGCACAGUGAAUCGGCGAGUCACUGUGCGGAAUCGUCCGGUUCUCUCUAGAACCGGACGAUUCCCGGUUUUUGAACCGAUC
rnacentral:lncRNA from 1 species